rnacentral:rRNA from 1 species
GACGAACGCUGGCGGCGUGCUUAACACAUGCAAGUCGAACGGAAAGGCCCUGCUUUUGUGGGGUGCUCGAGUGGCGAACGGGUGAGUAACACGUGAGUAACCUGCCCUUGACUUUGGGAUAACUUCAGGAAACUGGGGCUAAUACCGGAUAGGAGCUCCUGCUGCAUGGUGGGGGUUGGAAAGUUUCGGCGGUUGGGGAUGGACUCGCGGCUUAUCAGCUUGUUGGUGGGGUAGUGGCUUACCAAGGCUUUGACGGGUAGCCGGCCUGAGAGGGUGACCGGCCAAAUGGGGACGGGGAUACGGCCCAGCCCCCUACGGGGGGCAGCAGGGGGGAAUAUUGCACAAGGGGCGGAAGCCUGAUGCAGCAACGCCGCGUGCGGGAUGACGGCCUUCGGGUUGUAAACCGCUUUCGCCUGUGACGAAGGGUGGGUGACGGGAAUGGGUAAAGAAGCACCGGCUAACUACGU